UAUUAAGAAUACACUGCUAAGUAUUCAAUUGCCCUGAUUCUAAAAUUUUGAUUAUUAUACUUUUUAUUUCUCAAAUAAUGUUCUAGUAAGUUAUCUCUGGUGAGGAAAAUGAUAAUUUCAAAAUCAAACAAUUAAUGAAUUCAUUGAGAAAUACUCUGUUUCUUGCUGUUGACUAAUUAUUUUAAGUAAAUUAGGUGUUAUGCUAUUGACAUAUUGAAUGGAAAUAAAGGAAAACCCUUGUAAAAAAUGCACAGUCUCAAAGUCAUUUUAGAGGUCUGGAAUGAACCAUCUACAUGGUCAAGAAGUAGCUGUUCUAUCACACACUUUCGGAUAAUAUAUGUCUGAACUCUGUUACAUUGGAAAAAUGAAUUUUUAAAAUAAGCCAGCCAAAUCAGGAUUCUGUCAGUUGCCUUCACUGUAGUUUAAAAUCGUUUAGGAGUUGAAUACUUGACUGGGUUAUAAGUUAUGUAAAUCACAGGUUCAGGGAACACCCACUGUGGGAGGAAAGUGCCAAGUGGGAGAGCACAAUUGGAAAGGGUCUUCAGAAUAUGAAGUAUAAAUUGUGGCACAGGAUCUUGUGGCCUGGGGCCCAAAGCACGCAAGAUCUUCCUUCUUAGUGCCUUGAGAAGCAUGUUUUAUCCUUUCUCUCCACCUCAAACUGUGGGCCUAUGGACACUAAUAUAAAAAACACUGGUCCUCCAAGAAAGAACAUGCAGACUCUGCCACACACCUCAGUAGGCUUAAUUAUUUUUCCUCUCUCUCUCUCUCUCUGUCUCUCUCUCUCUCUCUUUUGCACCUGCCCAUAUUACACAGAAAUUUGACAUUAUAUGAACAUGUAGGUAAAUGGAAAAUAUGAAAUAAAAUGUAUUUUCAGUCAGGUACCAUUAUGUUGACACAGGACAUGUCCUUUUAAUGAAUACUUACAUUCAUUUAAUUCAGAAUAGAUUUCUAUAAAGUAGGACUUUGUUUCUUGGUAGUAACAGCUUGGCCCUGAAUUAUUAAAAUAAUUAGCCUUAAUUCUAUAUUAUUAUGAUGUGGACAAAAAUUACUAUUGGGUUAUCCAAGUGAGGUUAUUUUUUCAUUUUCUUUCCCUAAGGAAUCAACUGAAGUAUUCACCAAGAAAACUGAGCUGACUGAAGAAGAAAAGAAUGACCAAAAACAUCUGAACAAAAUCAACCAGUAUUAUCAGUUCACCUUGCCCCAAUAUGUAAAAGCUGUUUAUCAAUAUCACAAAAUUAUGAAACCAUGGAAAAACAUGAAGACAAAUGCUUACCAAGUUAUCCCCACUCUGAGGGAUUUUUAAGAUUCUUGAAUUAACUGCUUCUACUUUACUUUGGUUUGCUUGGAAAAUCUACCAUAUUACUUCAUACUACCAGCAUGUUUGGACAGGCUUAUGGUGAAGGCGGGAAUACUGAGUCAAAGAAGACUGCAGAAUAUUUCCUGAAUUGCGUAUACCCUUCCCAUGAGUUAAUGUUGAAUAUGUUGGGUUUGCAUUGUGGUUUCAUUAGGUUGAUGAUUACUUAAGAUGUUUUUACCACUGUUUCUGAGUUACAAAAACACAUUUCU